rnacentral:rRNA from 1 species
UAGGGAAUCUUCGGCAAUGGACGGAAGUCUGACCGAGCAACGCCGCGUGAGUGAAGAAGGUUUUCGGAUCGUAAAGCUCUGUUGCAAGAGAAGAACGAGUGUGAGAGUGGAAAGUUCACACUGUGACGGUAUCUUACCAGAAAGGGACGGCUAACUACGUGCCAGCAGCCGCGGUAAUACGUAGGUCCCGAGCGUUGUCCGGGUUUAUUGGGCGUAAAGCGAGCGCAGGCGGUUAGAUAAGUCUGAAGUUAAAGGCUGUGGCUUAACCAUAGUACGCUUUGGAAACUGUUUAACUUGAGUGCAAGAGGGGAGAGUGGAAUUCCAUGUGUAGCGGUGAAAUGCGUAGAUAUAUGGAGGAACACCGGUGGCGAAAGCGGCUCUCUGGCUUGUAACUGACGCUGAGGCUCGAAAGCGUGGGGAGCAAACAGGAUUAGAUACCCUGGUAGUCCACGCCGUAAACGAUGAGUGCUAGGUGUUAGACCCUUUCCGGGGUUUAGUGCCGCAGCUAACGCAUUAAGCACUCCGCCUGGGGAGUACGACCGCAAGGUU